rnacentral:rRNA from 1 species
GACGAACGCUGGCGGCGUGCUUAACACAUGCAAGUCGAACGGAAAGGCCCUGCUUCUGUGGGGUGCUCGAGUGGCGAACGGGUGAGUAACACGUGAGUAACCUGCCCUUGACUUUGGGAUAACUUCAGGAAACUGGGGCUAAUACCGGAUAGGAGCUCCUGCUGCAUGGUGGGGGUUGGAAAGUUUCGGCGGUUGGGGAUGGACUCGCGGCUUAUCAGCUUGUUGGUGGGGUAGUGGCUUACCAAGGCUUUGACGGGUAGCCGGCCUGAGAGGGUGACCGGCCACAUUGGGACUGAGAUACGGCCCAGACUCCUACGGGAGGCAGCAGUGGGGAAUAUUGCACAAUGGGCGGAAGCCUGAUGCAGCAACGCCGCGUGCGGGAUGACGGCCUUCGGGUUGUAAACCGCUUUCGCCUGUGACGAAGCGUGAGUGACGGUAAUGGGUAAAGAAGCAACGGCUAACUACGUG